GACGAACGCUGUUGGCGUGCCUAACACAUGCAAGUCGAGCGAAGUGAGUACUACGGUACGAACUUAGCGGCGGACGGGUGAGUAACGCGUGGACAAUCUACCCUGUAGACUGGGAUAACACCUCGAAAGGGGUGCUAAUACCGGAUAAUGUCGAGAAGCGGCAUCGCUUUUCGAAGAAAGGAGAGAAUCCGCUAUAGGAGGAGUCCGCGUCCCAUUAGCUAGUUGGUGAGGGUAACGGCCCACCAAGGCGAGGAUGGGUAGCCGGCCUGAGAGGGUGAGCGGCCACACUGGAACGGAGACACGGUCCAGACUCCUACGGGAGGCAGCAGUGGGGAAUAUUGUGCAAUGGGGGAAACCCUGACACAGCAACGCCGCGUGAGCGAAGAAGGCCUUCGGGUUGUAAAGCUCAAUAGUAUGGGAAGAUAAUGACGGUACCAUACGAAAGCCCCGGCUAACUACGUGCCAGCCGCCGCGGUAACAC
rnacentral:rRNA from 1 species